AACGAUGAAUCGUCCUCUAUUCAUCAUCACUCACAGGACAGUUUGUAAAUUCCUUCACAAAGACGUAAACUAGAGGGGAGAGCAGCUAACGCAGUGUACAGUGGAUGAUGACGCUUUCUGAGAGGAUGACCUCAGCUUUCUGCAAGACCCCUUCUUUCAUGCAGUGGAAGAGGGCCGAGGUGAGGUGUUACAUCUCCUGCUGAUUGAACAUGAUGGAGCUCCGUG